UCUUAUGAUGGCAUGAAUCUUUGAGACCUGAUUAUUCUCAUGAUGACAAACUAUACACAAUCUUCUGAGGAC
rfam:Zea mays cultivar B73 chromosome 2, whole genome shotgun sequence.